rnacentral:rRNA from 1 species
ACUCCUACGGGAGGCAGCAGUGGGGAAUUUUGGACAAUGGGCGCAAGCCUGAUCCAGCAAUGCCGCGUGAGUGAAGAAGGCCUUCGGGUUGUAAAGCUCUUUCAGUUGAGAAGAAAAAAUUCUGGCUAAUACCCAGAAUUCAUGACGGUAUCGACAGAAGAAGCACCGGCUAACUACGUGCCAGCAGCCGCGGUAAU